rnacentral:misc_RNA from 1 species
GUUUAUCCCCACGAUUAUCUUUUCGCAGUUAGUGAAAACGAGUGGUGUAUCGGUUGGCAGGACAGUGGAAUGCAGACAAAGGAUGGAAAGGAAAUAACUCUCUUAGGAGAUCUUGUGUUAUCCAACAAGCUUGUGCUUUAUGAUCUUGAAAACCAGAGUAUUGGCUGGACCGAAUAUAACUGCUCUUCGAGCAUCAAAGUCAGAGAUGGAACUUCUGGGAAGGUGUAUACUGUAG